UCCCAGGUGGCUCAGAUGGUAAAGAAUCCACCUGCAAUGUGGGAGACCUGGGUCCAAUCCCUAGGUUGGGAA
rnacentral:tRNA from 1 species